rnacentral:rRNA from 1 species
UGGGGAAUAUUGCACAAUGGGCGCAAGCCUGAUGCAGCCAUGCCGCGUGUAUGAAGAAGGCCUUCGGGUUGUAAAGAACUUUCAGCGGGGAGGAAGGUGUUGAGGUUAAUAACCUCAGCAAUUGACGUUACCCGCAGAAGAAGCACCGGCUAACUCCGUGCCAGCAGCCGCGGUAAUACGGAGGGUGCAAGCGAUAAUCGGAAUGACUGGGCGUAAAGCGCACGCAGGCGGUCUGUCAAGUCGGAUGUGAAAUCCCCGGGCUCAACCUGGGAACUGCAUUCGAAACUGGCAGGCUAGAGUCUUGUAGAGGGGGGUAGAAUUCCAGGUGUAGCGGUGAAAUGCGUAGAGAUCUGGAGGAAUACCGGUGGCGAAGGCGGCCCCCUGGACAAAGACUGACGCUCAGGUGCGAAAGCGUGGGGAGCAAACA